GGUUUACUCGUGAUCGAUUGUGCAGUCAUUGCUGGUACGUGCUGGGACUUCUGGUGUGCCCUUCUGAAGACUUGAGAGUCGGCCAAGUUCGCUUGUCACCGUUUUCUUGUUGGAAGUUGAUGUGCGUGCUAGUUGUAGUCGUGGACCAGGCCUCUGUGCGGUCGGUGGCGUCUAUUGUGUGUCAUUUUGUGAUUGGACUUGUCUGGUUGCAUUGUGCGCAUGCGGUAGCGUUAUUGGUUGCCCAUGGUUCACUCCCGGUAUGAGUAGUUGACGACCUAUCCGACCCGUCUUGAAACACGGACCAAGAAGUCUAGUAUGUACGCGAGUCAUUGGGUGUUUAAACCUAUUGGCGAAAUAAAUGUGAAGGCGGCUUGUUCGUCUGAUAUGUGAUCCGUGAGUGUAUGCUUGCGGCGCAACAUAGUCCCAUGCAGAUUGCUUGCAAUCGUGUGGAGAUAGAGCGUACCUACUGGGACCCGAAAGAUGGUGAACUAUGCCUGAGCAGGAUGAAGUCAGAGGAAACUCUGAUGGAAGUCCGAAGCGGUUCUGACGUGCAAAUCGAUCGUCGGACUCGGGUAUAGGGGCGAAAGACU
rnacentral:rRNA from 1 species